CAGUCGCCGCGGGAAUACAGAGGGUGCAAGCGUUAAUCGGAAUUACUGGGCGUAAAGCGCGCGUAGGUGGUUUGUUAAGUUGGAUGUGAAAUCCCCGGGCUCAACCUGGGAACUGCAUCCAAAACUGGCAAGCUAGAGUAUGGUAGAGGGUGGUGGAAUUUUCUGUGUAGCGGUGAAAUGCGUAGAUAUAGGAAGGAACACCAGUGGCGAAGGCGACCACCUGGACUGAUACUGACACUGAGGUGCGAAAGCGUGGGGAGCAAACAGGAUUAGAGACCCCUGUAGUCCCUGUCUCUUAUAC
rnacentral:rRNA from 1 species